GGGUAAAUAAAAUAAUAAGUCAUGCCAAAUAUGAAACAAAGAAAAGCGAGAGACGAUGAAAUUUAAAUAUAUACCAACAUACUACAAUAUGCAAUUUCGAUCCCUAUACUUUCCUCGCCAUUUCUACCACCCUCCUCACUAGAAUCCCAAAAUGGGGUUCUCUUGACCUUAGUAAUAAGAAAAGUCCUCCACUAGACGUUUUUUUUGUACAGUUAAAAUAUAAAAGCUCGUUAUACAGGUCAGACGAAUGUACAUCGUGUUCUGUGAGUGAAAGUUUCCUCCCAACAGGCUGGUGAACAAUGAAUACCAAGAGCAUCGUAUUCCUGCUGGUGCUGGUGAUCUUGGCCGUUUCAGUUGUCAAUGGAAGCAGAGAUAGACGCUGCUCACAACUCGGCGGGAUCUGUUUAAGUGAUUGUAAUUACGUAAAUACAGUACAUGGCGGAUUAUGCUUCGGCAGUGAUGUCUGUUGCCGGUUAAUACAGACUUACGGCUAGUCCACAACGGCAGCCAGACCUGACGGACGCCACCAUGACCUAUGCGACAAAAACACCCUCAAAUGUUUUUGGCGAUCAUCGACGAAACUUCUGUUUUGACAUGCAACUAGAAAACAUGCUUUGCUUGUGAAAUGUUUUUUUGAGGUUAUUUGAAUUCUGCCACAAUCUUUAUUUUCUUGAUUAUGCACAUUUUAAGUAAUGAUGAAGAAUAUUAGUAAAAUCUAAUUUAACUUGAGACUUGUGUCAUUAGCAUGUACAUCUGGCAUCUGCCUACUCUUGAAGUGUAUUGUCUUGUUUAUUUCCUUAUCUAGAUAUAUUAAUAAUGUUUAUCUUUGUGUUCAGAGCUUGAUAAUAAACUUGCUAUGCUAUAA